GAUAGCAUGGCCGAGAGGUCUAAGGCGUUGGUUUAAGCCACCACCGCCUUCGGAGGUGGGUUCGAAUCCCAUCGCCGCCA